rnacentral:rRNA from 1 species
AACGAACGCUGGCGGCGUGGAUAAGACAUGCAAGUCGGACGAGAGUUUUCGUUGUAGCAAUACGAUGGAAAGUCUAGUGGCGAACGGGUGCUUAACACGUGGGCAACUUGCCAGGAAGUGGGGGACAGCGCGCCGAAAGGCGGAUUAAUACCGCAUGUGAUUAGAGAGGACAUCCUUUCGAAAUUAAAGUCGGGCAACCUGACGCUUCUUGUGGGGCCCGCGGCCUAUCAGCUAGUUGGUGAGGUAACGGCUCACCAAGGCUUUGACGGGUAGCUGGUCUGAGAGGACGACCAGCCACACUGGGACUGAGACACGGCCCAGACACCUACGGGUGGCAGCAGUCGAGAAUUUUUGACAAUGGGGGAAACCCUGAUCGAGCGACGCCGCGUGGAGGAUGAAGGUCUUCGGAUUGUAAACUCCUGUCAUUGGGGAACAAUGCACAGAUAUUAACUGUAUUUGUGUUGAUAGUACCCGAAGAGGAAGAGACGGCUAACUCUGUGCCAGCCGCCGCGGUAAUAC